CGAACGAAGCAUGCCGGAGGAAGUUUUCGGAUGGAAUCCGGGAUGACUGAGUGGCGGACGGGUGAGUAACGCGUGGGCAACCUGCCCUGUACAGGGGGACAACAGUUAGAAAUGACUGCUAAUACCGCAUAAGCGCACAGGACCGCAUGGUCCGGUGUGAAAAACUCCGGUGGUACAGGAUGGACCCGCGUCUGAUUAGGUAGUUGGCGGGGUAACGGCCCACCAAGCCGACGAUCAGUAGCCGACCUGAGAGGGUGACCGGCCACAUUGGGACUGAGACACGGCCCAAACUCCUACGGGAGGCAGCAGUGGGGAAUAUUGCACAAUGGGGGGAACCCUGAUGCAGCGACGCCGCGUGAGUGAAGAAGUAUUUCGGUAUGUAAAGCUCUAUCAGCAGGGAUGAGAGUGAAAAAAAAAAAUUUUUUUUGCCCCGGCUAAGGGGGUGCAAACUGCCGCGGUUCUGCGUGGGGGGCGGGCGUUCUCCGGCUUUCCUGGGUGUCUGGUGCGCGUUGUCGGCUGGGCGUGUCUGUGGUGNNNGCCCGCGGCCCUUCUGCGGGGCUGCUUUGGCCCCUGCCCGGCUCGUGUGCUGGCGCGGUCCGCGGCCUUCCUNGUGUCGCGGUGNNNUGCGUNGCUCUUUUGAGGAGUGCCGGUGGCGNNGGCGGCUUNCUGGNCCGUNNCUGNCGUUGGGCUCGNAAGCGUGGGGGCUCUUUUAAGAAGAGGCCGGGGAGNNCANCAAGGGAGGGCCCUUUUAUUGUAAGGGGGGCAAAGCCCAUCGGUGCCGCCGCAAAAGCAGUAAGUAUUCCACCUGGGGAGUACGUUCGCAAGAAUGAAACUCAAAGGAAUUGACGGGGACCCGCACAAGCGGUGGAGCAUGUGGUUUAAUUCGAAGCAACGCGAAGAACCUUACCAGGUCUUGACAUCGGGGCGGCAGGCUCGUAACGGAGCCGUUCCUUCGGGACGCCCCAGACAGGUGGUGCAUGGUUGUCGUCAGCUCGUGUCGUGAGAUGUUGGGUUAAGUCCCGCAACGAGCGCAACCCUUAUCCUAAGUAGCCAGCAGGUAAAGCUGGGCACUCUUGGGAGACUGCCAGGGAUAACCUGGAGGAAGGUGUGGAUGACGUCAAAUCAUCAUGCCCCUUAUGAUCUGGGCUACACACGUGCUACAAUGGCGUAAACAAAGAGAGGCGAAAGGGCGACCUGGAGCAAACCUCAAAAAUAACGUCUUAGUUCGGACUGCAGGCUGCAACCCGCCUGCACGAAGCCGGAAUCGCUAGUAAUCGC
rnacentral:rRNA from 1 species